AUGAGAUAUGGGUACACUGCACUUGUGUGAUAUGGUGCAGAUGUACGGUACACUUACUUGCUGUGUGAUCUGGUACAGAUGUACGAUAUAUUGUACUUGCUGUGUGAUUUAGUAUGUGUACAGUAUUCUGUGCUUACUGUGUGAUUUAGUAGAGGAUGGUUUUUAUAUGGUUUUAAAAAUAUAACGAAUGUGUUUCACUGACGUGAGUGAUGAUACUAUAUAUUGCAUGUAUUUAGCUAUCUGUCGUAAUAUUUGCUUAAU
rnacentral:lncRNA from 1 species